GUUUGAUCCUGGCUCAGAGCGAACGCUGGCGGCAGGCUUAACACAUGCAAGUCGAGCGGGCGUAGCAAUACGUCAGCGGCAGACGGGUGAGUAACGCGUGGGAACGUACCUUUUGGUUCGGAACAACACAGGGAAACUUGUGCUAAUACCGGAUAAGCCCUUACGGGGAAAGAUUUAUCGCCGAAAGAUCGGCCCGCGUCUGAUUAGCUAGUUGGUAGGGUAAUGGCCUACCAAGGCGACGAUCAGUAGCUGGUCUGAGAGGAUGAUCAGCCACAUUGGGACUGAGACACGGCCCAAACUCCUA
rnacentral:rRNA from 1 species